GAGUGGACGAGGAAGAUUAUUGAGUUGAUACCAGGACCAUCCACUGCACUUAUCAGGCUCCAUAUUCACCGGUUGUUGUUGAUGAUCUACCAAAACAGCCCGUGCAAUCAGAGUAACAAAAUGGAUCGGAACUGGUGCGUUGAUCACGGUGAGAAUCUCAACACUGUCAAUAUCCAAACCAGUUUCUUCCUUCACUUCUCUCACGGCGCAUUCCUUGAAGCUUUCACCUGCUUGAUGGAAUUACAGAUUUACAGACAGACAGAGUUCUAUUUGAGGCGUAAAAAAAGUGGGGGGGGGAGAGAGAUUAGGUAUUUUUCUCAUAGAUAAUAACAAUACCGUACCGUAUUCAAGUCGACCACCAGGUAUGGCGAAGGUGUGGUUUCCCACGGGAGAUAGACGUUGACCUAGAAGAACUGACGAGUCUCCUUUUGUCACGAAUACCGCAACAGCUACCUGUGGGAUUUUCACUUUUUCAAUUCCUCCGUCGUUCGCCUGAGCUUUACCUUCUUGGACCUCUUUCAUCAGAUGACCAAGUCAACUUGGAAGUUGGAACUUUUCUUCUUCUUUUGAUUUCUAUUAAAGUCAUAAAUUUAGGCGAGAAUAUAUUAAAUUUACCCUUUUAAAUCUUAACCGUCGAUUAACUCUUUCGCUUUCUGGGAGAAUCUUAUUCCAUUUAUACUGAAUAGUCGAAGAACAAAGAUGAAAAGUUACAUAAACCAGAUCAAUUAACAGUUGUAGUGUUUGAUUCAGAAGUGUUCUUUGGGAUUUUAAUCUCUAGAAUGAUAACGUUGGGUUCGAUGACAUGAUAUGCUUCAGCUCUCUUCCAAUCAGCAUUUGUGGGUAGUUCAAGCCUUCUGACAUGUCCAUAUUCCCACCAUUUAUCUUUUCUCCAAUCUUUUGCUGAUUCUCUCAUCUGUCUGCUCAUCUCUACCACCUUCCCAGUCUCCACGCAUAUUUCCAGUUCAUAUCCAGUCUCAAUGCUUCCUUCUGUGCUUAAAUCAAGAACAAGAUGAUAAAUAAUUCAAAACCCAUGGAUGGGAAAAGUAGUUAAGUCAGUUAUGUUGUAAUCCUAAUGAAUAGUUAGUUGCUUACUUGGUAAUUCAGAUUUCAGGGAAUAGAACAGGUCAGUUUCGUCCCAAUCAACCUUUCCUCCGACGGGCAACAGUGUGUGGGAUUCAAAGUCCCAAAGUGGGAAAGCGUCGGCUGGAUCGAAGAAUUUACCAAACAACAGAGGACUGAAGAAAGAUCCAUCUCCAAAC
rnacentral:lncRNA from 1 species